rnacentral:rRNA from 1 species
AGAGUUUGAUCAUGGCUCAGGACGAACGCUGGCGGCGUGCCUAAUACAUGCAAGUCGAGCGGACAGAAGGGAGCUUGCUCCCGGAUGUUAGCGGCGGACGGGUGAGUAACACGUGGGUAACCUGCCUGUAAGACUGGGAUAACUCCGGGAAACCGGAGCUAAUACCGGAUAGUUCCUUGAACCGCAUGGUUCAAGGAUGAAAGACGGUUUCGGCUGUCACUUACAGAUGGACCCGCGGCGCAUUAGCUAGUUGGUGGGGUAAUGGCUCACCAAGGCGACGAUGCGUAGCCGACCUGAGAGGGUGAUCGGCCACACUGGGACUGAGACACGGCCCAGACUCCUACGGGAGGCAGCAGUAGGGAAUCUUCCGCAAUGGACGAAAGUCUGACGGAGCAACGCCGCGUGAGUGAUGAAGGUUUUCGGAUCGUAAAGCUCUGUUGUUAGGGAAGAACAAGUGCGAGAGUAACUGCUCGCACCUUGACGGUACCUAACCAGAAAGCCACGGCUAACUACGUGCCAGCAGCCGCGGUAAUACGUAGGUGGCAAGCGUUGUCCGGAAUUAUUGGGCGUAAAGGGCUCGCAGGCGGUUUCUUAAGUCUGAUGUGAAAGCCCCCGGCUCAACCGGGGAGGGUCAUUGGAAACUGGGAAACUUGAGUGCAGAAGAGGAGAGUGGAAUUCCACGUGUAGCGGUGAAAUGCGUAGAGAUGUGGAGGAACACCAGUGGCGAAGGCGACUCUCUGGUCUGUAACUGACGCUGAGGAGCGAAAGCGUGGGGAGCGAACAGGAUUAGAUACCCUGGUAGUCCACGCCGUAAACGAUGAGUGCUAAGUGUUAGGGGGUUUCCGCCCCUUAGUGCUGCAGCUAACGCAUUAAGCACUCCGCCUGGGGAGUACGGUCGCAAGACUGAAACUCAAAGGAAUUGACGGGGGCCCGCACAAG